GACGAACGCUGGCGGCGUGCUUAACACAUGCAAGUCGAACGAAGAGCGAUGGAAGCUUGCUUCUAUCAAUCUUAGUGGCGAACGGGUGAGUAACGCGUAAUCAACCUGCCCUUCAGAGGGGGACAACAGUUGGAAACGACUGCUAAUACCGCAUACGAUCUAAUCUCGGCAUCGAGGAUAGAUGAAAGGUGGCCUCUACAUGUAAGCUAUCACUGAAGGAGGGGAUUGCGGCUGAGUAGCUAGUUGGAGGGGUAACGGCCCACCAAGGCGAUGAUCAGUAGCCGGUCUGAGAGGAUGAACGGCCACAUUGGGACUGAGACACGGCCCAGACUCCUACGGGAGGCAGCAGUGGGGAAUCUUCCGCAAUGGACGAAAGUCUGACGGAGCAACGCCGCGUGAGCGAUGACGGCCUUCGGGUUGUAAAGCUCUGUUAAUCGGGACGAAAGGCCUUCUUGCGAAUAGUGAGAAGGAUUGACGGUACCGGAAUAGAAAGCCACGGCUAACUACGUG
rnacentral:rRNA from 1 species